AUUUGUAUAGUUUAAUUUAAAAACAUAACUCUUUCAUAGUUAAAAUGAAAAUUAUUUUCUAUAAAUU
rnacentral:tRNA from 1 species